rnacentral:misc_RNA from 1 species
GUAGCAGCAGAGCAAGAGGCUGCUGCUGGCCGAGCUGUUGAGCAAGAAUUUGUGGCUCAGCUGUCGGCACUUAAACAGGAACUUGAAGAGACAAGUCUAGCCAUGUUAGAAUCAGAGAAAAAGCUAAAAUUCAAAGAAGAGACAGCAACUGCUGCCAUGGCAGCAAGAGAGGCUGCUGAGAAGUCAUUGAGAUUGGCUGACAUGAGAGCAUCUAGGCUGAGGGAUAGAGUGGAGGAGCUUAGCCAUCAGCUUGAAGAGUAUGAAACUCGAGAAGACUCAAGGGGACGAAAUGGUCCUAGAUAUGUAUGUUGGCCAUGGCAGUGGCUUGGAAUUGACUUUGUGGGCAUCCGCAAACCUGAAACACAACA